CCACCGGUAGCUCAGUUGGUAGAGCGGAGGACUGUAGAUCCUUAGGUCACUGGUUCAAAUCCGGUUCGGUGGA
rnacentral:tRNA from 1 species